rnacentral:misc_RNA from 1 species
AUAUUCCAUUCUUCAUAAUAAACAUUUAUAAAAUUUUUCCUAAAAUCGUUUAAAAAACAAAAACAAAUACCUACAAUAUACAAAAACAUAUACUUAUCUCUUAUAUCACUCAUUCUUACUUCCAACAACCUCUACUCUACUAUAUAUUAUUCAAAAAUUAUUUAACUAAUAUAUCAUACAAAAACUAAUAACCUAAAAAAU